GAAUAAGCUUUAUUAAAAGCUACCCAAAGUUACAGGAAAUUGCAAU
rfam:Cavia porcellus supercont2_8 genomic scaffold, whole genome shotgun sequence.